rnacentral:sRNA from 1 species
UCCUUUUAUUGCGGAUGAACACCACAUACACGUCGUAAAUGCUCCCUAGGCUGGCUGCGGCUACAAGGCAGACCCGGGAGCUGAGAAUAGAGGAAUACCUGCCCAAGCAACUCAUUCUGCACAGCAGCCGACAAGACAGCGAUUUUCCUGUGCUGGAAUGUGCCCAUCCAAAGACACUUGGAUUGGACUUAAUCUUAAACCUCUGGAGUUCAAGACCUUUUAAAAAGGGCUAAAUAAACAAUCUCUACAUGUAAAAGGCCACUGACUCCUGCUUCCUCUGUAUAGAGCAACUGUUGAACUCAGCUGCCUGUAAGUGCAUUUCCUGUCCAUUUCGAAAGCUCAUUAUGAAAUGGCCACACAACUGAAUGUUUCUGUUUAUAAAAUAAUGUUCCUUGCAGGGGCUUGCAUCAUCUAAAUAUCUUAUGUCAGAAUAAAAGCCACUGAGAUCCAAAGAAGUGGACUAAACUUGACAAUAUCUGAAAGUCUUCUGCUGGACCAGGAACCUCUACAGUGGACAGUGUGCUUCCUGCUUUUCCACGCAGUUUGACAAGAAAACCAUCCCAAAGUGAACAAAAAUGGAAGCCCGCGAAGUUCA